UACGUAGGUGACAAGCGUUGUCCGGAUUUACUGGGCGUAAAGAGCGCGCAGGCGGUCGUUCAAGUCGAGUGUGAAAGCCCCCGGCUCAACUGGGGAGGGUCAUUCGAUACUGAUCGACUCGAAGGCAGGAGAGGGAAGUGGAAUUCCCGGUGUAGUGGUGAAAUGCGUAGAUAUCGGGAGGAACACCGGUGGCGAAGGCGGGUCUCUGGGCAACAACUGACGCUGAGGAGCGAAAGCCAGGGGAGCGAACGGG
rnacentral:rRNA from 1 species